UACGUAGGGUGCAAGCGUUGUCCGGAAUUAUUGGGCGUAAAGAGCUCGUAGGCGGUUUGUCGCGUCUGCUGUGAAAACUCGGGGCUUAACCCCGGGCCUGCAGUGGGUACGGGCAGACUAGAGUGCGGUAGGGGAGACUGGAAUUCCUGGUGUAGCGGUGAAAUGCGCAGAUAUCAGGAGGAACACCGGUGGCGAAGGCGGGCCUCUGGGCCGUAACUGACGCUGAGGAGCGAAAGCGUGGGGAGCGAACAGG
rnacentral:rRNA from 1 species